GCUGGGCACGGUGGCACGUGCCUGUAGUCCCAGCUACUCGGGGGGCUGAGGUGGGAGGAUCACUUGAGCCCAGGAGUUCUGGGCUGUGGUGCGCUAUGCCAAUCGGGUGUCUGCACCAAGUUCGGCAUCAAUAUGAUGAUCUCCCAGGAGCGGGGGACCACCAGGUUGCCUAAGGAGGGGUGAACCGGAGCAGGUCAAAACUCCCGUGCUGAUCAGUAGUGGGAUCGCGCCUGUGAAUAGCCACUGCACUCCAACCUGGGCAACAUAGUGAGACCCCAUCUCUG
ensembl:misc_RNA Metazoa_SRP Metazoan signal recognition particle RNA